rnacentral:rRNA from 1 species
GAUGAACGCUAGCGGCAGGCCUAAUACAUGCAAGUCGAACGGGAUCCAGAUCAAAGCUUGCUUUGGUCUGGUGAGAGUGGCGCACGGGUGCGUAACGCGUGAGCAACCUACCCUUGUCAGGGGGAUAGCCCGGCGAAAGUCGGAUUAAUACCGCAUGACAUCAUUGAGAGGCAUCUUUCGAUGAUCAAAGAUUUAUCGGACAAGGAUGGGCUCGCGUGACAUUAGCUAGUUGGUAAGGUAACGGCUUACCAAGGCUGCGAUGUCUAGGGGCUCUGAGAGGAGAAUCCCCAACACUGGUACUGAGACACGGACCAGACUCCUACGGGAGGCAGCAGUAAGGAAUAUUGGUCAAUGGACGGAAGUCUGAACCAGCCAUGCCGCGUGAAGGAAGACGGCCCUAUGGGUUGUAAACUGCUUUUAUACGGGAACAAACGUCGGUACGUGUACCGGUCUGAGUGUACCGUAAGAAUAAGGAUCGGCUAACUCCGUG